UCCGACGCCUCUGGAAAGCGGUGGGACAACCCACCCGCCGACGGGGAAAGGCUGUGGCUUCCGUCUAUCGGCGGAUCACUACCGAAUCUCUCAGGCGCUCGGGAAUCGAGCAUGCGACAGAGGGGGAGGA
rnacentral:ncRNA from 2 species